AUGUUGGGAACAAACCAAUCACACUUGUGAUACGUGGCCUAAUAGCACCCAACCUAUGGGACAAAUUCCCCAUUCCAUGUGUUCUGAUAGCAUAGCCUUAAAAAAUAUUGAUUGGUUUGGGACUGACUGGGAUAAAUGGCCCAGCAUACAUCGGUUAGCUCCUAACAGCACUCAAUGUUUAUGCGGCUCCAGCUUUAUGGCCUUGGCUGCUGCCUGGAUGGAUUGGAUGGUGCACCCUAGGCUUCCUCUGGAUGCAAGUUUCGUCUCCUGGACCACUUCUCAUCAAAUGAUUCUCUCGUCUCCAGAGGAUCUGUAUACCUUGUCAGCCUUGGACUCUGCAGGCACAACCUUCGGUCCACUGAACUUCCUUCCUGUACCCCUAUGGCCCCAUUUAGGGACAGCUCUACGAUCUUGUACAGCUGGAGGUAGUUACAGAAGACUGACCGUAGUCCAUACCCCCAAAAGAUUUCGAGGCCAAAUGGGUUCAAGGGGGAUUUUAUGAUGAGGAUCAAGGCUGCCCCAGGGAGAAAAGCCUAAGGCGUCCUGCCCUGCAUACUGAUCGAGCUCAUCCUCCCGGAAGCACAGGAUGUCCUGACCUGAGUCGACCUGAUUCGUAUCCAAAGUUAUAGGACCACCUGCUAACCAGACCCCACGUGAGCUGAUACCAUUUUAAUGACUUUUUUUACGUAAUCUUUCCUUUGUCUUGUAAAGAAAUAACUCACAUGCCUCUGCCUUGUAAAUUUAGCCCUGCCCUCAAGCCACUGCAGCUCUUCACCGCCCAUGAGUCCUAUCCCCGUGCUAAUCCAUGCUAUUCUCUGAAUCAAGGAGCACCACUACAAGAACUUGAGAGUCCAAGAAAUCUUUCUUUUGACGAUGACUCGCUGAGCCUGCAUUGGGGGGUCACAAGCAUUUGGACAUUAAUAAGGGAUGUGGUUCAGGCAUCUCAGAAGAUGGCGCCAGGGGAAGCUGUGCUGAAAAGUCAGUCACUGCAGCAACAUGCAAGUACUCCUUCAGGCCAAUGGCCCACAGGAAAGUUCUAGAAUUUGUUUGAACGCUUGUUUCAUAUAAAAUAAAUGAGGGACAAUGAUAGCUGUU